rnacentral:rRNA from 1 species
UGGGGAAUCUUCCGCAAUGGGCGAAAGCCUGACGGAGCAACGCCGCGUGAGUGAAGACGGCCUUCGGGUUGUAAAGCUCUGUUAUAUGGGACGAACGGGUGUAUGGUCAAUACCCAUACGCCGUGACGGUACCGUAAGAGAAAGCCACGGCUAACUACGUGCCAGCAGCCGCGGUAAUACGUAGGUGGCAAGCGUUGUCCGGAAUCAUUGGGCGUAAAGGGCGCGCAGGCGGUUCGGUAAGUCGGUCUUAAAAGUGCGGGGCUUAACCCCGUGAUGGGAUUGAAACUGCCGGACUGGAGUGUCGGAGAGGAAAGCAGAAUUCCUAGUGUAGCGGUGAAAUGCGUAGAUAUUAGGAGGAAUACCAGUGGCGAAAGCGGCUUUCUGGACGACAACUGACGCUGAGGCGCGAAAGCCAGGGGAGCAAACGGGAUUAGAUACCCCGGUAGUCCUGGC